CAAUAGCGUAUAUUAAAGUUGUUGCAGUUAAAAAGCUCGUAGUUGGAUUUCAAGAGCCGCAUCUGGGAAACCAGCAUGCUCUCUACCAGCCUUUGGCUGUUACUGUGAGAAAAUUAGAGUGUUUCAAGCAGGCAAUUGCAGGAAUACAUUAGCAUGGAAUAACGAAUGUAUCUACAAUUUGGUUAAUUGUAGGUUUCGAUUAAUAGGGACAGUUGGGGGCAUUAGUAUUUAAUUGUCAGAGGUGAAAUUCUUGGAUUUGUUAAAGACUAACGUAUGCGAAAGCAUUUGCCAAGGAUGUUUUCAUUAA
rnacentral:rRNA from 1 species